CAGCUCCAUGCCUGGCGCUAGGCGAGGCCGCAGUGGUGCUGGAAUCAGCACCAAGCAACGGGGGGCUGGGGUGGGGCAGGGGGGCAGAGGCACCUUCGCUCCCUUUGUGCCCUGCAGGGGAAGGGCCGGGGCUGCUCCUUGCUGCGGGGCCAGCCCCGGGAGAGCAAAGAGGGGUGGCAGGAGCUGGGCAGCAGCCACGGAGCAGAGACCUGUGAAAAACCAGCCGGAGGCACAGAGACGUAAAUUCACGAUGUGUUUAAUGCCAGUUCGAACGCUUUACAUGGAAAAGUUACAACGCUCUAUAUUUUUUUUCCACCAUGUGAUGCUUUAUACACAACAACGCCACAAGGUCGCAGACUCGGGGAGGACCCCUCGGCUCAGCCCGCCCGCGCAGCUCAGCACUUGCAGAUCCCACACACACACAGCACAAGCACGCAGGCUCUGCUCUUUUGCCCACGGGACACCCUCAGCACGCCCCAGCCAGCCGCCGGUGUCACGCACACAGCCACCAGCACCCCUCACGCACACCAGGCAGAGCAAGAGGCGCAGGUUGGGAGCAGAGGGGCACAGCUGGAGGCAGGAGCACAGGCAGCAACGAGCAGCAGCGGUGGCCCAAGGGCUGUGUGUGCUGAGCACGCUGCCCCCUCCCCGGGGGGGGACACUGACACCACACAGCGACCACCAGCAGCAGUGUGGGAGCCCCCAGAAAGCCCCACACUCACCCAGUGCCACCCCCAGGCACAAACCAGUGAGCCCUCCCAGCUCUGACACCUCUCUGAUGUCCCCACCCCAUCGCUGAUUGCCUCCUGGAGCAGAACACAGCCCCAACAGCCCCGUCCCCAGGUGCAGCUGCCCCCCAGGUGACAACCCACAGACACCCGUGACAUCCACAUCCUGCUGCAGGUGGCCUCGAGCCACUUGCCAGCUUAUUAGUGACCUGACUUCAGUAACAGCUCCUCGGUGAUCUGCAGUGGGCCCUCCACACCGUGACAUUGAACAGUGCCAGUGAACGUACAACAAGCAGCAGGAAAGGCAGCAGGAGGCCAGCAGACAGGUUUGAAAACCAAGCCCCACGCUCCUGCUGCGAGAACCACCAUGUAGUCGUGCUGAGAAAUUACACAGAAAUUACAUUUUGGGGGGCAGGUGAGGCAGUCGGA
rnacentral:lncRNA from 1 species